rnacentral:sRNA from 2 species
GUAUAUGGCGUUGAUUUAAAAUUUAAACGUAAUGGAGGACUCCCGACAACGGGCCUUUUCAAAGCUCCGCCCUCCUUGCGUUGAGCUAAGUUCUGUUGGGCUUAAAUUCAGAGGCGACCUCGCAACCUCCAAGGAUGUGUUACGGGCCUUGGAACCUUUGCAUACUAUGCUCCUGGAGGUUGCGAGUGAAUAUGGUCUCGAUGAAAAACUUGCCGAAUACGCAUUCUUCCCACUAUCGCACAUCUUCAAUGAAACCCAAAGGGUUUCUGUUCGCUGCUUGGAACUGGCGUUGCGGUGUCUACAGAUUCUUAUCGAGAAAGGAUGGCGCCAAAACCUCUCCGUGAAAAUGGGAAAGCAGCUGCUUAUCCUUCUCACCAUCAUUGCUGGUGGACCUCCCACCCAAAUUAAAGAUUGCAACCAGAGAAAGCCAGAAUCGGAAGAAUUAACAGUUGCCGCAUUUGAUUGCAUUGCAACCGUAUGUCAGGUCCUUGUAGGACCUACAGCUGCAGCAGAGAUAUUUAAUGAAAUCGGGACAUCCACUAUUGUUGAUCAAACUGUCUACCUCUUACUGGAAGGUAUUACGGAUGGUACUUCAGACCAGGUCCAACUGGCUGCAGCUCGUGCUCUGCGGACCCUGACCGCUCGCGUAACUCAUCGUGUGAUACUAGCAAGCCUUUUACCCAGAAGUGUUUCUGCCUUGACUAAAGCACUACAGCCGACCACACAAAUGCGACGAUCAUACCAAGUGCUGUGUUGCUGCAUACAAGCCCUCACAGAAAUGUUGAAGGCCGUGCUUAAUGAUACCGAUGUUUCGGCCCCGACGCCCCAGAAAACUGAUGCUAAAACCCAACCGGGAGGGAAUACUCUUGUUCUUGAUGACUCAUGGCUCAACGCGACAGCUUCCCAGGUAAAGCUUGCGUUGGGAAACGUUAUUCAGUUGAGAACACAUGACAGACAUGAUGUUCGCCACAGUUUGCUUGAAUUAUGCCUUAUGGUUAUUGAACAAUGUCCGAAAUCUCUUGGGGACUCACUUUCAAUGAUGGUGGAAACUGUGGUUGUUCUCGCUGAAUAUGAUACAGACAAGCCGGCAAACGAUGCUUACGUCGCCCUAAAACAUCUGACCAUUUCAUCUAACCGCGUGCUGGACCUUCUCAAGUCUAACAUGUACACAUGGACUAUAGCAUUACCAAGAAUGAUGCAAUCGAAUAAUGAUGCAGCAAAACAAAGAGCAAUUAGACAAAUAUCGACUGCGUUCCAAGUCUUAUCGCAGACUCAGCCAAGCUUAAAUAUCUUGGAUGACACUUUAGCCACAAGUUUAUGCGAGAGUGUCUCCAUGGCUAUGCGAUCGACGUCAACAGCGCCCCAGCCUCUACCAAGUUUUGCUGCCACAGGAUCGGAGCUCCGUAUUGUGGAUGGUGAGCGCCAGUCGAUAUCUUUUCAACCCGUGCUACUAGACCACCGUAGCCACCGAAGAACACUCUCAGAGCUCCAAUUUAUGAUUUCGAAACUUAGCGCCACGGACACAUCUCUCUCGAUGGCGAGUUCGAUGUUAAAGAAAAUCUAUGGGUCGUCGGGUGAUGACCUCCUAGCUCCCUUUUGGCUUACCUUAUCAUUAAUAAAAAGUGUUCCAGCGGAUCUAGCGUCAAUGGAUGACAUGAUUGAUCUGGAUUCUGACUCUCCUUCUCGUUCCGCUAUUAUCGAGGAGUUAUACUCAAUCUCGCUCCCACUUCUCACGGAUUUGUCGACUGCCAAUCCACACGAUUGGCGGCUGCCUGCGUUAGCUCUUGAGGCUAUAGCACUCCAAGCGCAGCAGUUAGGUGAAACCUUUCGUCCCGAAUUAAUUGACACCUUAUACCCUGUGCUGCAAUUGAUGGGCUCUAGCAACCCCAACAUACAGAAUCAUGCUGUUACAUGCCUUGAUAUCCUUACUGCUGCUUGCAGAUAUCCAAACACAAGCUCUAUGCUCGUUGAUAAUGUUGACUACCUAGUGAAUUCCGUGUCUUUGAAGCUUAACACUUUUGACAUAUCACCCCAAGCCCCGCAGGUGCUACUCAUGAUGACGAGGUUAUGUGGGGCAUCGCUUAUCCCAUAUCUGGAUGACCUGAUUGGAUCGAUAUUUACAGUGUUGGAUGCUUUCCACGGCUACCCUAAACUGGUGGAGCUUCUGUUUUCUGUUUUAGGAGCUAUUGUGGACGAAGGGGCAAAGAAACCAGCACAACUAGCUAUCACAGGCUCAGAUACCAAUGAACCCGUCAAUCACCAGAAAAGACCUCUCAAAUCCCGUAGAAUUUCAGACAUCGCGAAUGAAUUUCAAAAGCGAAGGGAGAAGCGAGCUCGGGCCUCUGAACUCGAAGCCGGUGACAGUUUGGAAAAAGAAUCUCACCCUAGACGUCCAUGGGCUUCCGAGCGCGAUGGGCUCAGACUCAUGGAUGAGGAUGAAAGUGAUAUAGGCUCAGAAUCAGAGGGACUGCCACCACCUACCACAGAAGAAAAGACUCUAAGCAGAUCUCACACUUUGCUCCUUAAUAUUGCCAAAUCCAUUCCACCCCAUCUCUCCUCACCAUCGCCGUUCCUACGACGCUCAUUACUUACCAUCUUGACCCGUGCACUACCCAUCCUCGCGCAUGAUGAAGACACCUUUUUACCCCUAAUUAACGACCUCUGGCCUUCCGUUAGCGCACGAAUUACCACGCCACAGACUCUCUCACCAAACUCGGUCGCACUUACAACACCCCACACAGGCCCCGCACAAACCCGCAACUCCCCAACCAGCAUCGACGAAUCCGGCAUCCAGGAAGAAGCAUUCGUAAUCUCUGCGUCGUGCUCCGCAAUCGGCGCCAUGUGCGAAGGCGCGGGGGACUUCAUGGCAUCUCGCAUUGAGCAUGAAUUCCCUCGGUGGAAGAAACUGUAUCUCCGCGCAUGGGAGCGAGUACGGCAGGACUCAGAAAGGGCGGCGGAGAGGCAGCGACAGAGGAUAGAGCAGCAGGAACGUCUUAGUUUACGCACCGUCUCGGGGAUGGAGUCGCUAACCCCUGACACUGACAGCAAAACCAAAAUUCCCGAUUCCACAACAUCAGUGACUGCACGAUCUAAGCCUCCACCACCGCCAACACCACCACCACCGCCACCACCACCGAGCACAAAGUCAUUCACCCCUCACAACUCCCUAUUCCAGGCCCUGACACGCAUGUUUACCACCAUUCUCCACAGCGUAUAUCUAUCAGCCGACAUCAGAGACGAAAUUUUUGAGUGUCUCGGUACGGCGAUAUCUUUCUUUCAGCCCGAUUAUUACUUCACGUAUGCAUGGCGCGAGCACACAGAAUCCAACGACGAGAAGCAGAUCGGUAAAACAGCAGGAGAGCCAAGAGCGGAAGCGACGUCAAGAACGGGAAAUAGAACGGGAACAGAAGAAUUUGCCCAGGCGAUUCAAGCGAUGCAUGUGCUAAAUGCGGAUUUGACAUGGUUUAUAUUUGAGAAAGGGAGGAGACAGAGCAGGGGCGGUAUCGAUGACGGGAACGGUGAUGCAGUUGAUAGGCUGGCACGGGUGGGGCGAAAUAUUGAGAGGAGGAUUGCGGAUAUGUUGAGGAGCCAGCUACAUUCGCAGUCGGAUUCACCAACGCAGGGAGAGCUUCGUUCAGCAGGAAGCAGGGGGUCGUGGAAGUUGGCGGAGGUGAUUGGAGCGUUUUAAUGACAUAGGGAAUGAAACAUUAUUUAUGCCAGUUGUUUAACGUAUUUUGGCUCGUACUACACACCAUGCUUUGACUACUUUUCGAAGAAAUUAUUUACUACGAAUACCAGUACAAUCCCUCGUGACCUAUGACCUGUUCUUAUUUACAACUUUUCGGGGUGGUAUGUCGGUUAUCAAUAACAGAACAGUUUGGGGGAUAGUAUGUUGAGAGUAAUAUACAAUGAACACUUUAAUAAUUCCUCUUGCAUAUGUUAUUCAGCUACACCUAUAAUAAACGAAUGGAGGAGUGGAGUUGGACUGUUCAAAACGCAAGCAACGAAAUCAUUCAUCCAAAGAGACCAAAAAUGAAAGAAAGAAACGAUAAGGGGACAUGGGGUUCAGUUGAAUUUUAUUCUCGUCGAGGGACGUAGAGUGGAGCUUGUGAAUAAGAUCGGUAAUUGAUACAAUUGACCAAAUAAAACGAAACUAACGGGAAGCAAGGCAAGGGAAAAAUCGAAACGAGUUAAAGCGAUGGAAUAAAGGCCCCGAAAAAAAGAAUGUUGCAGGAUGGGCAAUUGCCCUCGGGAGAUGUUGCCAGCAGGAGUUUAAUCCUCAUCAUCAUCCUCAUCGCUCUCGGCAGUCUCAAGCCAUUCGAUAAACUUCUCAGCAGCCUUGCGGACCUUCCUACUGGUGGCGAUGUCGACGUAUUUCUUGCUGGCCUUCGAGCCCCAGGCCUUGAGGACUUCUUCCGAAAUCAGAUCCUCCUGGUAAUAAGCGAGCAGGAUGGCUGGGACACUUGGGCAGAGAUUGGGACGUUCAAUUCCAACUAAACGUUCGGUUCCUCCAAGGAAUGCCUUUUCGUGGCGCUCAGAAGUGAUCAUCUUCUUGAGCAUGCCAGCUCUGGAUGGAAUUUGCUUAACAAUUUUGUCGUCGAACAUGGUCUGAGCCAAGACGGCGAGGGUCUUGUGCUUCGACUCAAUUCCCAGUUCCUUGGCCUUCAUAUAGAUGUCAAUGUCACUGAUGCUUGAGACACCUUCCUCAGAACCCUUGGCAGAGCUUAUAAUCCAGCUACCGAGAAGAUCGUAGGCGGAGGCCGACCCAUUUUCCCCUUCACCAUCAUCAUCAUCAUCAAUGACGAGAGAACGUUUAACAUCGUCGGGGAGUUCCUGAGCACGAGCCUUGACAGCUUCCUCGGAAACAUCAACCGCCCAGUCGUCGUCGUCGAUUUCUUGGGACUGCUCGAUUUCUUCCGCCUCAGCUUUAAUGCGACGAGUAAGCUCAUCAUCACUAUGGGCGUCGAGAGCACCAUCGCCGUUUUCAUCUCCUCCAUCGGAGUUGCUAUCUACCGGGCUACCAUUUGACUCUCCGUUUGCCUCUCCAUUCGUCUCUCCGUCACCCUUGCCCUUGUUUCUUUCGCGCCGAGACUUCUUGGUGGACUUGUCCUUCUUUCCCUUCUUUGGCUGGUUCUUCAAAAUGAAACUGCUGAGCUUUUGACGAAGGUCAACAUCGGACCGUUCACCACAGGCUUUGCAGUCCAGGAUAAUGCGGGGUUCUUUGACGACAACCUCAGUUUCUGGGUUCUUGCACUUCUUGCACAAAACGAAUUUUACGAUAAACCCGUCAAGGUAGUCCUGAAGUUUGGAAGCGUCGUGGGCGCCGUUGAUAAUCCAGCGAUCAUCUGUCGGCUUAGCGUUUGCUUGAGCCCCGAGUUCAAAUCCGAAGUACUUGAUCAAGUAGGCUGGUGGGCGACCCAAAGACUGGGCAACAUUGUUGAGAUUAACAACAACAGUUUUGAUGCCAUUGCCUUUGCCUUCGAUCUUUGCCUGGAGGCGUUCCAUUUUGUAACGGUAAAAGGGAUCAGGGUUGUCCCGACGGAUGUUGACGGUAGUAGCCAUUGUCACGGUAAGAAGAGAGACGAAAUUUUGGAAUUCUUUAAAAGGCUACGAAGAGGAGAGAUAUAGGACGAAACGCGGAGAGGGGCUGGGGAAUGGAGUUUCGAUUGCUACAAGACAUGCGUAUCACGAAUUUACCCGUGAUAUCUUGAGUAGGAUAGUGAAAGCGGAAAUUUCUGCGGCUCGGCUGCGAUAUGGAAGGGUUGAAAGCGUAGGUGAACUCAGAGCAAGUGAAUCUCAGCCACAAGAUCUGGAAUGGUAACUACAAGGUUUUCGCACAGGGCGAAACGUUUGCAGCUUGAGCGGCAGGUGGUGUUCGAAAGCGUUGACGUAGGGCGAAUACAUAGACAGGUGCUCUAUCUUGCUUGGUGGCAGAAGGCUUGGGGAACCUGAUGGGGAACGUGGGUUGAGCCGAGACAACGAGAUAUCUCAGUGAGCACAGAAUGGCAGCGCGUUGGGGGUAGCACCGAUCAGAUCAAGUGGGAAACAAUAUCAGAAUGCCCAGCUAAGGGAUAAGAUAGAACAAUCUGGAUAAGCCGGUGUGGUGAUGGCGAUGGCUGAAGGAGGUUGGCGAGGUUGUGGAUGAGCGGAAAAGAAAGAUUUUAGUGUUGGAGGAGAGCAAGGGUGGGCGGUGUCCGAAUCCAGAAAUUUGAUGGGCGGCAGAAUGUGAUUUAGGGAGUUGACUAAUCGUGAGAUGGGAUAGAUCACGUGG